rnacentral:rRNA from 1 species
UACAGAGGUCCCGAGCGUUAGGCGGAAUCACUGGGCUUAAAGCGUGUGUAGGCGGAUCGUUAAGUACCUUGUGAAAUCCCACGGCUUAACCCGUGGAACUGCUUGGUAUACUGGCGGUCUUGAGCCACUUAGGGGCUACCGGAACAAAUGGUGGAGCGGUGAAAUGCGUAGAUAUCAUUUGGAACGCCAAUGGUGAAAACAGGUAGCUGGGAGUGUGCUGACGCUGAGACACGAAAGCCAGGGGAGCAAACGGGG